AGGCCAGAUCCACGAUCAGGUGCAUGGCAGGGGCUUGUCCGCAGGACCGGAACCUUGGUACCUCACUCCGGAUUCUAUUAAAAUCGUAAUCUCUAGAAGAUGGAUUCAGCAAAUGCCAGGCGUGGAGCCAUGAAUGUUUCCAUAAGAAACAAGAAAAAUAGAAAGAAUGUGUGUUAGCCAGACGACACCUUGAUGGCACCCCUGCCACCUCCCCAGCCCUCCUCAGUGGCAAAGUGAUUUAGCUCAGUUGGGCUUCUCCAAAAUGGAAAUAGUCACUUGUUUGAGCAAAUAAAUGUAAUGAAAGUUGUUCCGGAAAAA
ensembl:lncRNA LINC01624 long intergenic non-protein coding RNA 1624